GGGCGGAUGGUGCAAUUGGCAGACACGCGAGGCUUAGGACCUCGUGGCAGCAAUGCCUUGGAGGUUCAACUCCUCUUCCGCCCACUA
rnacentral:tRNA from 1 species